UUGAAAUAAAUCUGAUGGGUUGUUGCUGGUUCUCUAGGGAGCAUGUGCACGCCUUGUCAUCUUUAUAUCUCCACCUGUGCACUUUUUGUAGACCCUUCGAGGUCUAUGUUUGCUUCAUUAUAUAACCCCUAAACAAAUAGUAGAAUGUUGUGCCUUUGAAAGAAUCUAUA
rnacentral:misc_RNA from 1 species